GACAGAGGUGCCGAGCGUUAGGCGGAAUCACUGGGCUUAAAGCGUGUGUAGGCGGGUCGUUAAGUGUCUUGUGAAAUCCCACCGCUCAACGGUGGAACCGCUGGGCAUACUGGCGAUCUUGAGCAGUCCAGGGGCGAGCGGAACAAGCGGUGGAGCGGUGAAAUGCGUAGAUAUCGCUUGGAACGCCGACGGUGGAAAACAG
rnacentral:rRNA from 1 species